CUUUUCAUGUUUGUAUUUCAGUUAACGCAAGGUCUAUUAUUCACUACGUAUCUUCAAGUAAGAGUGUUCUGCAUACUUCGAUGUCAUCUCUCAAUAUUGCCAAUCUAUUUACCUCUAGUUGACUAUUCUAAUCAAGUUACUUGACAACCAUUAUUUGAUAGUCGCUACUACGUAUGUUAGAAAGUUUGAUGAGAAAGCACUACAGGAAUUUGAGAUGGUACAUUCACUGUUGAUGUCUCUCCUUAGUCUCUGGUCCCAUCUUAAGCUGCCACUGGAAGGUCCAAUGUUCUCCACAAGCUUUUUAAAUGGACAAUUCACAGAAACAUGAGGAAGAACAACAAUCCGGUGGAUCAUGCAAGGAAAGUUCAUCCUAGCUUGUUUCAUUCUCUUUAUCUCAUGCCAACAUUCCUCUACUACCUACCUUAGAGUUGAAGGAUUCUUCAGAAAUGGAUAUGUCUGAUGUUCAAAAGAAUCUCAAAUGUUUGUACGAGUACAAUGUCAUGCUGAGGGAGAAAUUUUUAUCUGUGCAAUCUAUGCUUCAUGAGUUAGCAACAAAGUCCUUGCCUCCUGCAAAUGAUGACAUUCCUAACACCUCAAAGUUUUUCAAGCAAGUUUUUUGGUGGAUCCUACUCCAUUUUCUAGGAUCUUGCAGGCAAAGGACACCAAGUGAAUUAGAUAGAGAGGUUAAGAACUUGAGGGUGGCAUUUACUGACCUGUUUUUGAAGCAUAACACUUUCAAAGAAACUGCAAAGCCAUCGAGAUAUUGAUGCAAAGAAUGGAAGAAUGUAUUUCACUAAUUUUUGUAUACAUUUCUUGUUUUGUAUUUAGUGAUAAAGGAAUUUGAAUUGGACAUAAAUUAUGUUGUAAUAUGAUUUCUUAAGCCUAGACUAGUAGACUAAAUAUUGUAAUUACAUUUGAGUAAUUAAUAAAAAUCUAUUUAUGUUA